GGUCAUAUCACAUUGAAACAUCAGUUUCCAUAUGAACACCAAAGUUAAGCCAAGUUGAGCCUGGUCAAAUGGGUGACUGCUUGGGAGCACCAGGUGCUGUAAG